rnacentral:rRNA from 1 species
AGAGUUUGAUCCUGGCUCAGGAUGAACGCUAGCGGCAGUAAUACAUGCAAGUCGUGGGGCACNNNNNUAGCAAUACUGGGCGGCGACCGGCAAACGGGUGCGGAACACGUACGCAACCUUCCUUUAAGUGGGGGAUAGCCCAGGGAAACUUGGAUUAAUACCCCGUACGAUAGUGGUGUGGCAUCACACUAUUAUGAAAGCUACGGCACUUGAAGAUGGGCGUGCGGCUGAUUAGGUAGUUGGCGGGGUAACGGCCCACCAAGCCAACGAUCAGUAACUGGUGUGAGAGCACGACCAGUCACACGGGCACUGAGACACGGGCCCGACUCCUACGGGAGGCAGCAGUAAGGAAUAUUGGUCAAUGGACGCAAGUCUGAACCAGCCAUGCCGCGUGGAGGAUGAAGGCCCUCUGGGUUGUAAACUUCUUUUAUCUGGGAAGAAACCACUCUUUUCUAAGGGUGUUGACGGUACCAGUUGAAUAAGCACCGGCUAACUCCGUGCCAGCAGCCGCGGUAAUACGGAGGGUGCAAGCGUUAUCCGGAUUCACUGGGUUUAAAGGGUGCGUAGGUGGGCAGGUAAGUCAGUGGUGAAAUCUCCGGGCUUAACCCGGAAACUGCCGUUGAUACUAUCUGUCUUGAAUGUAGUGGAGGUGAGCGGAAUAUGUCAUGUAGCGGUGAAAUGCUUAGAUAUGACAUAGAACACCCAUUGCGAAGGCAGCUCGCUACACUAUUAUUGACACUGAGGCACGAAAGCGUGGGGAUCAAACAGGAUUAGAUACCCUAGUAGUCC